rnacentral:rRNA from 1 species
ACGAACGCUGGCGGCGUGCUUAACACAUGCAAGUCGCACGGGAUUUAGUAAACAGAAGCCUCGGUGGAAGAUUACUAAUGAGAGUGGCGAACGGGUGAGUAACGCGUGAGCAACCUGCCUAUGACAGUGGGAUAGCCUCGGGAAACCGGGAUUAAUACCGCAUAAAAUCGUAGAAACACAUGUUUUAACGGUCAAAGAUUUAUCGGUCAUAGAUGGGCUCGCGUCUGAUUAGCUAGUUGGUGAGAUAACAGCCCACCAAGGCGACGAUCAGUAGCCGGUCUGAGAGGAUGAACGGCCACAUUGGAACUGAGACACGGUCCAAACUCCUACGGGAGGCAGCAGUGGGGAAUAUUGCACAAUGGGGGAAACCCUGAUGCAGCGACGCCGCGUGAACGAAGAAGGUAUUCGUAUCGUAAAGUUCUGUCCUAUGGGAAGAUAAUGACAGUACCAUAGAAGAAAGCUCCGGCUAAAUACGUG